rnacentral:lncRNA from 1 species
GGGUCUGUGUAGUUUUCCCGAAUGUCAAAUUUGCUUGUACAUGGUUGAAACGUUGAAGGUUGUCCUGUAGGUAAAAUGUUAGUUAUUUUGACAUUUAACUCAAGAGGCACAUGCUGCUUGUUAAUGCAAGUUUCUCCUAUCACUACCCAACCCAGUUUCAAUUGUUGUGCAUAUGGAGUUCUGGGUGGUCCUAUGCGCUGGUCAAGGACAUGGUGUGCCUCUAUAAGGUCUCUGCCAAUUAAGAGAAGAAUUUGGCAAUUUUCCUCUAUUGGUGGAAUGCUAGCCCUAAGUUCUUUAAAUGAGGGUGAUGCAUUGUAACUUCAGGAGUAGGUAUUUCGUCCCUAUUAUUGGGAACAUGAUCACAUUCAAUCAGUACAGGAAGAUCAAACUUGUC